UACAGAGGUCUCAAGCGUUGUUCGGAUUCAUUGGGCGUAAAGGGUGUGUAGGUGGCGCCGUAAGUCGGGUGUGAAAUUUCGGAGCUUAACUCCGAAACUGCAUUCGAUACUGCGGUGCUUGAGGACUGGAGAGGAGACUGGAAUUCAUGGUGUAGCAGUGAAAUGCGUAGAGAUCAUGAGGAAGACCAGUGGCGAAGGCGGGUCUCUGGACCAUAACUGACGCUGAGGCGCGAAAGCUAGGGGAGCAAACAGG
rnacentral:rRNA from 1 species